GACCUGAUGGCACAAUGGUUAGUGUCUCUGCUCCAUGUAAUCAAAGAAUUCCGCGGUAUGCAGAAGACCCCGGUCCGAAUCCGGGUCAGGUCA